UGUUGUUGGGUAGGGGAGCGUUCUGUAAGCCUGCGAAGGUGUCCCGUGAGGGAUGCUGGAGGUAUCAGAAGUGCGAAUGCUGACAUAAGUAACGAUAAAGCGGGUGAAAAGCCCGCUCGCCGGAAGACCAAGGGUUCCUGUCCAACGUUAAUCGGGGCAGGGUGAGUCGACCCCUAAGGCGAGGCCGAAAGGCGUAGUCGAUGGGAAACGGGUUAAUAUUCCCGUACUUGGUGUUACUGCGAAGGGGGGACGGAGAAGGCUAUGUUGGCCGGGCGACGGUUGUCCCGGUUUAAGCGUGUAGGUGUGUGUUCCAGGUAAAUCCGGUUCACUUUAACACUGAGGCGUGACGACGAGGCACUACGGUGCUGAAGCAACAAAUGCCCUGCUUCCAGGAAAAGCCUCUAAGCAUCAGGUAACAUCAAAUCGUACCCCAAACCGACACAGGUGGUCAGGUAGAGAAUACCAAGGCGCUUGAGAGAACUCGGGUGAAGGAACUAGGCAAAAUGGUGCCGUAACUUCGGGAGAAGGCACGCUGACACGUAGGUGAAGUGAUUUACUCAUGGAGCUGAAGUCAGUCGAAGAUACCAGCUGGCUGCAACUGUUUAUUAAAAACACAGCACUGUGCAAACACGAAAGUGGACGUAUACGGUGUGACGCCUGCCCGGUGCCGGAAGGUUAAUUGAUGGGGUCAGCGCAAGCGAAGCUCCUGAUCGAAGCCCCGGUAAACGGCGGCCGUAACUAUAACGGUCCUAAGGUAGCGAAAUUCCUUGUCGGGUAAGUUCCGACCUGCACGAAUGGCGUAAUGAUGGCCAGGCUGUCUCCACCCGAGACUCAGUGAAAUUGAACUCGCUGUGAAGAUGCAGUGUACCCGCGGCAAGACGGAAAGACCCCGUGAACCUUUACUAUAGCUUGACACUGAACAUUGAGCCUUGAUGUGUAGGAUAGGUGGGAGGCUUUGAAGUGUGGACGCCAGUCUGCAUGGAGCCGACCUUGAAAUACCACCCUUUAAUGUUU
rnacentral:rRNA from 1 species